rnacentral:rRNA from 1 species
CAGCCGCCGCGGUAAUACGUAGGGUGCAAGCGUUAAUCGGAAUUACUGGGCGUAAAGCGUGCGCAGGCGGUUAUAUAAGACAGAUGUGAAAUCCCCGGGCUCAACCUGGGAACUGCAUUUGUGACUGUAUAGCUAGAGUACGGCAGAGGGGGAUGGAAUUCCGCGUGUAGCAGUGAAAUGCGUAGAUAUGCGGAGGAACACCGAUGGCGAAGGCAAUCCCCUGGGCCUGUACUGACGCUCAUGCACGAAAGCGUGGGGAGCAAACAGGAUUAGAUACCCCUGUAGUCCCUGUCUCAUAUAA